rnacentral:rRNA from 1 species
AUUGAACGCUGGCGGCAGGCUUAACACAUGCAAGUCGAACGAGUGGCGGACGGGUGAGUAAUGCUUGGGAAUCUGGCUUAUGGAGGGGGAUAACGACGGGAAACUGUCGCUAAUACCGCGUACCAUAGGAUGAGCCCAAGUGGGAUUAGGUAGUUGGUGGGGUAAAUGCCUACCAAGCCUGCGAUCUCUAGCUGGUCUGAGAGGAUGACCAGCCACACUGGAACUGAGACACGGUCCAGACUCCUACGGGAGGCAGCAGUGGGGAAUAUUGCGCAAUGGGGGGAACCUGACGCAGCCAUGCCGCGUGAAUGAAGAAGGCCUUCGGGUUGUAAAGUACUUUCAGUCGGGAGGCGUUACCGACAGAAGAAGCACCGGCUAACUCCGUGCCAGCCGCCGCGGUAAUAC